UAUCUCUCCGUACGGGGAGGAAGGAUGAGAAGCUUCGACUAAGGUUCGAUUCGAGCGAAAGCGAGAAAGCGUUGCCAACGGCAACGACCCGAAGGGCGAAGCGCGCAGCGCUGAGUAAUCCUUCCCCCGUCAUCC
rnacentral:sRNA from 3 species